rnacentral:rRNA from 1 species
UCUGGAGACAGGUGCUGCAUGGCUGUCGUCAGCUCGUGUCGUGAGAUGUGGGUUAAGUCCCGCAACGAGCGCAACCCUUGCCUUUAGUUGCCAGCAGUUCGGCUGGGCACUCUAAAGGGACUGCCGGUGUUAAACCGGAGGAAGGUGGGGGAUGACGUCAAGUCCUCAUGGCCUUUAUGACCAGGGCUACACACGUACUACAAUGGCCGAUACAAAGGGCAGCGACACUGCGAGGUGAAGCCAAUCCCGUAAAAUCGGUCUCAGUCCGGAUUGGAGUCUGCAACUCGACUCCAUGAAGUUGGAAUCGCUAGUAAUCGUGGAUCAGCAUGCCACGGUGAAUACGUUCCCGGGCCUU